rnacentral:sRNA from 1 species
GCUUUGCUGCAAGCUGGUGUGGCUACAGAGAAACCAGCUAGGUGCAGAGU